ACCCUAUAGAGUUUGACAUCUGUUCUUAUUUGUUUGAUUGUUUGUUUAUAUUUAUUGAGUGGGAGAUAUGUUUUGUUGGGGUGAUGGGAGUAAUAUUAUUUAACUUCUCUUUGUUUUUAUAUAUUUAUUUAUAUUGAUUUUGAUCCAUUUAUUUUGAUUAUAAGAUUAAAUUACCUUAGGGAUAACAGCGUUAUCCUCCUUGAGAGUUCUUAUUGGCGGGGGGGUUUGCGACCUCGAUGUUGGAUUAAGGUGAAUUUUCGGUGCAGGAGCUGAAGUUGAUUAGGUCUGUUCGACCUUUAAAAUCUUACAUGAUCUGAGUUCAGACCGGCGUGAGCCAGGUUGGUUUCUAUCUAUAAGAGUUGUUUUAUAUUUUAGUACGAGAGGACCGGAUAU
rnacentral:rRNA from 1 species